UGGGGAAUUUUGGACAAUGGGCGCAAGCCUGAUCCAGCCAUGCCGCGUGCGGGAAGAAGGCCUUCGGGUUGUAAACCGCUUUUGUCAGGGAAGAAAUCUUCUGAGUUAAUACCUCGGGAGGAUGACGGUACCUGAAGAAUAAGCACCGGCUAACUACGUGCCAGCAGCCGCGGUAAUACGUAGGGUGCAAGCGUUAAUCGGAAUUACUGGGCGUAAAGCGUGCGCAGGCGGUUUUGUAAGACAGAGGUGAAAUCCCCGGGCUCAACCUGGGAACUGCCUUUGUGACUGCAAGGCUUGAGUGCGGCAGAGGGGGAUGGAAUUCCGCGUGUAGCAGUGAAAUGCGUAGAUAUGCGGAGGAAACACCGAUGGCGAAGGCAAUCCCCUGGGCCUGCACUGACGCUCAUGCACGAAAGCGUGGGGAGCAAAACAGGAUUAGAUACCCUGGUAGUCCACGCCCUAAACGAUGUCAACUGGUUGUUGGGAAGGUUCCUUCUCAGUAACGUAGCUAACGCGUGAAGUUGACCGCCUGGGGAGUACGGCCGCAAGGUUGAAACUUAAAGGAAUUGAC
rnacentral:rRNA from 1 species